CUCUGUGCCCAGAGCCCCCUCUGCAGCUGGCCUCUCCUCCCAGGAACCCCUGUUCAUUCUUACCUCACUUUCUUUCCUCCUCUGCCUGGCUCCUACCAAGGUCUUGGAACAGCAGUAGGAGAGAAAAUUUUGUCAAAGAAGCCAGAGUGGUCUAACAGGACUGCAGAGGGACAGGGACAGAUUCUGCAUUCUGUCCCAGAGCUGGACACCUCUCUCAAGCCCAGGGAGCAGUGGGAGGAGAAACUGUGGGACAGCGUGGUGCCUACCUGGCCUCUCUCUGGGCAGCAAGGGAAGGGGCUCUAGGGGACACAGAGAUGCAGGACAGAUUGCGAAUCCUGGAGGACCUCAAUAUGCUCUACAUCCGGCAGAUGGCACUCAGCCUGGAGGACACAGAGUUGCAGAGGAAACUAGAUCAUGAGAUCCGGAUGAGGGAAGGGGCCUGCAAGCUGUUGGCGGCCUGCUCCCAGCGAGAGCAGGCUCUGGAAGCCACCAAGAGCCUGCUGGUGUGCAAUAGCCGGAUUCUCAGCUACAUGGGCGAGCUGCAGCGGCGCAAGGAGGCCCAGGUGCUGGGAAAGACAGGCCGGCG
rnacentral:lncRNA from 1 species